rnacentral:lncRNA from 1 species
UCGGAUUUCAUUCGAAUUCGCUCACAACGAUUUCUUUCUCUCAAAUUCUGAUAGUAGGCCUAUAAUACGCAGGUAUUAUACCCCCUAAUUAGCGAAGCUCUGCCUCGUUGUAAGUAUCAUAACCCCUGGAUACGUAUUAGAUAUUCUGCCCGAUUGAUCUAGGGUUCCGUAACGGCUGUCGUGGUUCUGCCCGACGUAGUCGUUGGAAUACCGUCUCGGGGAGGGUAUUACUAAUGUUAAAAUGGGUUAUUAUACUAACGCGUGUGCAUUGUUUAGACUAUAACCAAGAAAUCACAGAGGAAAGCCUUAUAAUAACAAUGUAACUUAGUGUAAAGCCAAUAGAAGCCAGCUGGAGAGCACUGAAGACUUGGAAAAGUGGCAAUAAAGUUACCUAAAAUAAAAUAGAUGUUUUUAUUAAAUAAAAUAGGAUUUAUUCCUAUAGAAAUGUAU